CCUACGGGUGGCAGCAGUGGGGAAUAUUGCGCAAUGGGCGAAAGCCUGACGCAGCGACGCCGCGUGAGGGAUGAAGGUCUUCGGAUCGUAAACCUCUGUCAGCAGGGAAGAACGGUCACUGUGCUAAUCAGCAGUGAAUUGACGGUACCUACAACGGAAGCACCGGCUAACUCCGUGCCAGCCGCCGCGGUAAUACGGAGGGUGCGAGCGUUAAUCGGAAUUACUGGGCGUAAAGCGCUCGUAGGCGGUAUGUCAAGUCAAGGGUGAAAUCCCCGCGCUCAACGUGGGAACUGCCUUUGAAACUGGCAAACUGGAGUGUGUGAGAGGAUAGUGGAAUUCCAGGUGUAGGAGUGAAAUCCGUAGAUAUCUGGAGGAACAUCAGUGGCGAAGGCGACUAUCUGGCACAUAACUGACGCUGAGGAGCGAAAGCGUGGGUAGCAAACAGGAUUAGAUACCCCUGUAGUC
rnacentral:rRNA from 1 species